GGGGAAUAUUGGACAAUGGGCGAAAGCCUGAUCCAGCAAUGCCGCAUGAGUGAGGAAGGCCUUAGGGUUGUAAAGCUCUUUCGGCGGGGACGAUGAUGACGGUACCCGCAGAAGAAGCCCCGGCUAACUUCGUGCCAGCAGCCGCGGUAAUACGAAGGGGGCGAGCGUUGUUCGGAUUUACUGGGCGUAAAGGGCGCGUAGGCGGCUAUCUUUGUCAGGCGUGAAAGCCCCGGGCUUAACCUGGGAACUGCGCUUGAAACGGGAUGGCUAGAGAUCGGGAGAGGAGAGUGGAAUUCCCAGUGUAGAGGUGAAAUUCGUAGAUAUUGGGAAGAACACCGGUGGCGAAGGCGGCUCUCUGGACCGACACUGACGCUGAGGCGCGAAAGCGUGGGGAGCAAAC
rnacentral:rRNA from 1 species